rnacentral:rRNA from 1 species
UACGUAGGGGGCAAGCGUUAUCCGGAUUUACUGGGUGUAAAGGGAGCGCAGACGGAACUGCAAGUCUGAUGUGAAAGCCCGGGGCUCAACCGCGGGACUGCAUUGGAAACUGUAGAUCUGGAGUGCCGGAGGGGCAAGCGGAAUUCCUGGUGUAGCGGUGAAAUGCGUAGAUAUCAGGAGGAACACCGGUGGCGAAGGCGGCUUACUGGACGAUUACUGACGUUGAGGCUCGAAAGCGUGGGGAGCAAACAGGAUUAGAUACCCUGGUAGU